rnacentral:rRNA from 1 species
AACGAACGCUGGCGGCAGGCCUAACACAUGCAAGUCGAACGCGUGUAGCAAUACACGAGUGGCGCACGGGUGAGUAACGCGUGGGAAUGUACCGUUUAGUGGGGGAUAACUUCGGGAAACUGGAGCUAAUACCGCAUACGCCCUUCGGGGGAAAGAUUUAUCGCUAAACGAUCAGCCCGCGUGAGAUUAUGGUAGUCGGUGGGGUAAUGGCCUACCAAGCCGACGAUCUCUAGCUGAUCUGAGAGGAUGAUCAGCCACACUGGAACUGAGACACGGUCCAGACUCCUACGGGAGGCAGCAGUGGGGAAUAUUGGGCAAUGGGCGCAAGCCUGACCCAGCCAUGCCGCGUGAGUGAUGAAGGCCCUAGGGUUGUAAAGCUCUUUUAACGGUGAAGAUAAUGACGGUAACCGUAGAAUAAGCCCCGGCUAACUUCGUGCCAGCCGCCACAGUAA